CAGGGCUGAAUCAUGCAGAUAUUCCCAGCUGUGGCAUUGUCUGCAAUAUGGCAUACCAGGGAGUAAGAGAGGCAAGUUGUUGUCAUAUCAUCCCUGAGAGAUGCCAGCUGAUGCCUGUGACUGGUCACUGCAGCAGGUACCUAGACUAAGAGAUGAAGCCUGAAGGCUUAGUGCCCCUCACGGAAACAGAUACUGCUGGUCCCUCAGUGUCUCUUUGAGUGUUUUCAUGGAAUUCCUGAGUGGGCAAAUGAGUGGAAUACUACUCAGCUAUUAGGAAUGAGGACAUCCUGAGUUUUGCAGGCAAAUGAAUGGAACUAGAAAAUAUCAUCAUGAGUGAGGUGCUGGCCAAGCUCGGCAGAAAUAAUGAUACCCUGAUGACAGAUUUAACAGCAGUAGCAACAAUAACCACCUAUUCCUUACAGAUGAUGCAACAAGAGGACCCUCAUCAGAUGCGAGCUCCUCAGUCCUGGAAUCCUCAUCCUCCCUCUGUUCUUUAUAAAUUACUAAAUCACAAGUAGUUUGCCAUAGUAGCACAAAACACUCUAAGACAUGUGAGCUUCUAGUUAUGCAGAUAUAAAGUAAUCACAAUAUAAUUACAGGCAUAGAUGCAGUCUAUUUGAACUGGAAAUAGAGCAUCACCAUCUGGGCUUCCCCCUAGGGGGAGGCCAGCAUUAGGAAAUGAACAGUGAGGGGGGGGGCUACAUUUUACCAGAUAAAAGAGAGAAGAUGGACUAUAUAAAUUGGCCAGUAUUAAGAUAUGGUAGACAAUAGGAUUAACUAGGUUUGGAAAGUUGUUAAAUGUUUUGAUAGACUUUGGACUUCAAAGGAGGCAGAAACCACUCUGGAAUUGUGAUGUUUAAGAUCCAUCUGCUGGAGAAUCCAAAACUAGGAAUCCCAAAGUGACCAGCUGAACGCAGAGUUGAUAACGAGUGGGUUCAGCCCUAGAGAAGGGCUAUUCUGCUCCAGGUGACACAUGCAUCAUCGGGGUGUUGUGUCAGGUGCUCUGGGCAAGCUCACAUGGUGACACCUAGUCAAUAGUCACCCUUCCGAUUGUGAGCCAGGAGUCAAUAAAAUGGUGUCCCACGCAAGAAGUUUUGUGGUAGCACAAUAAGUAGCUCUCAUUAGAGAGGGAAGACAAGGUGAAGGACCUUGGGAGAGACGAUACUCUGUGAGCUUUGGUGUGCGAUGCUCUAGAGUCAAAUCCCGACACCACUGCAUGCAUGUACUGGAUGGUUUUGUGUGUCAACUUGACACAGGCUGGAGUUAUCAUAGAGAAAGCAGCUUCAGUUGGGGAAGUGCCUCCAUGAGAUCCAGACAUGAGAUACAAGGCCCCUUGUGGGUGGUGCCAUCCCUGGGCUGGUGCUCUUGGGUUCUAUAAGAGAGCAAGCUGAACAAGCCAGGGGAAGCAAGCCAGUAAGAAACAUCCCUCCAUGGCCUCUGCAUCAGCUCCUGCUUCCUGACCUGCUUGAGUUCCAGUCCUGACUUCCUUUGGUGAUGAACAGCAAUGUGCAAGCAUAAGCUGAAAUAAACCCUUUCCUCCCCAA